rnacentral:rRNA from 1 species
GAUGAACGCUGGCGGCGUGCCUAAUACAUGCAAGUCGAGCGAACAGACGAGGAGCUUGCUCCUCUGACGUUAGCGGCGGACGGGUGAGUAACACGUGGAUAACCUACCUAUAAGACUGGGAUAACUUCGGGAAACCGGAGCUAAUACCGGAUAAUAUAUUGAACCGCAUGGUUCAAUAGUGAAAGACGAUUUUGCUGUCACUUAUAGCUGGAUCCGCGCCGCAUUAGCUAGUUGGUAAGGUAACGGCUUACCAAGGCAACGAUGCGUAGCCGACCUGAGAGGGUGAUCGGCCACACUGGAACUGAGACACGGUCCAGACUCCUACGGGAGGCAGCAGUAGGGAAUCUUCCGCAAUGGGCGAAAGCCUGACGGAGCAACGCCGCGUGAGUGAUGAAGGUCUUCGGAUCGUAAAACUCUGUUAUUAGGGAAGAACAAAUGUGUAAGUAACUAUGCACGUCUUGACGGUACCUAAUCAGAAAGCCACGGCUAACUACGUG